rnacentral:rRNA from 1 species
UACGUAGGGUGCAAGCGUUGUCCGGAAUUAUUGGGCGUAAAGAGCUCGUAGGCGGUUUGUUGCGUCGGCUGUGAAAUCCCGAGGCUCAACCUCGGGUCUGCAGUCGAUACGAGCAAACUAGAGUGUUGCAGGGGAGACUGGAAUUCCUGGUGUAGCGGUGAAAUGCGUAGAUAUCGGGAAGAACACCCGUGGCGAAGGCGGCACUCUGGGACGGUACUGACGCUGAGACGCGAAAGCGUGGGGAGCGAACAGG